GUCUAUGGCCAUGCCACCCUGAAUGUGUCGGAUCCCGUCUGAUUUAGGGAGCUAAGCAGGGUUGGGCCUGGUUAGUACUUGGAUGGGAGACUACCUAGGAAGACCAGGUGCUGUAGACG
rnacentral:rRNA from 1 species